AUGCAGUCGAACGGUGAAGCAGAGCUUGCUCUGUGGAUCAGUGGCGAACGGGUGAGUAACACGUGAGCAACCUGCCCCUGACUCUGGGAUAAGCGCUGGAAACGGCGUCUAAUACCGGAUAUGAGCUGCGAUCGCAUGGUCAGCAGUUGGAAAGAUUUUUCGGUCUGGGAUGGGCUCACGGCCUAUCAGCUUGUUGGUGAGGUAAUGGCUCACCAAGGCGUCGACGGGUAGCCGGCCUGAGAGGGUGACCGGCCACACUGGGACUGAGACACGGCCCAGACUCCUACGGGAGGCAGCAGUGGGGAAUAUUGCACAAUGGGCGAAAGCCUGAUGCAGCAACGCCGCGUGAGGGAUGACGGCCUUCGGGUUGUAAACCUCUUUUAGCAGGGAAGAAGCGAAAGUGACGGUACCUGCAGAAAAAGCGCCGGCUAACUACGUGCCAGCCGCCGCGGUAAUACGUAGGGCGCAAGCGUUAUCCGGAAUUAUUGGGCGUAAAGAGCUCGU
rnacentral:rRNA from 1 species